AAACUAUUAAUUGAAUUUAGUGAUUCCAGCUGUCAUCAUGAAAAUCUACUUUGCAUUGAUCGGUCUGCUGCUUUGCAGCACUUUGACACUGGCUCAAAGGAGAAAUUGUCCUUCCGUCUGCACUUUGGAAUAUAAUCCUGUCUGCGGAGAGGCCAAUGUUCGAGGACAACAAGUUCGCUGCCAAUUCUCCAAUCCAUGUGUUAUGACUAGCAGUGGUUGUCGCAACGGCAUCAACUGGCGAUCAACUAGCUGUGGAAUUACUUCACCCCAAUGCUCGAGCCUUGUUUAAUAAUAAGAGUUCAAAGAACAACCAUUUAAAAAAACAAAUUUAAUAUUCAUUUGGCUAUUUGUUAUGAGAGGUUUUUAUUAAGCAACUUCCGUUGCUAAUGCACUUCGAUAUAGAUUAUAUAGUUUAUAAAUUGCCAUUAUGCCACGAAAUUUGUAUUUUCUCAGAAAUAUAUAAAUAGAAAUGCAUUUUGACUUUUAAAAUUAGUUCAAAUUUGAUAUCUUAACUAUCAACAUGAAAAUCUUCUUUGCGUUGUUCGCUCUCGUAAUUUGUUGCAAUUUAACAACAGCUAUAUCUGGCAAUUGCUACAACAGAGCCUGUCUCCCUGACAACCCUCCCGAAUGUCGUUGUAAUCCGAUAAACGAAUAGGAUUAUACUACAUUCCUUGCAAAGAUUAACCAUCGCCCUAUUUACAUAAAAUGUGCACAAUGAAU